GGAUGGGUGACCGUUUUUAUAGAUAAUGGUACGGAACCCUUCGUGUGCGAGUCCGACUCGCACUUGGCCGGUUUUUAUUUAGAACGAAGUUGAUUUAUAAGGUUUACUUGAUCCUUGUGGGAAGCAAAUGAAGCUUUAUUUGUAAGUAUGUAUGUAAAAUAAAAUAAUAUUAAUAAUCUAUCAACCGCAUCUAGAUCGAUAGUGCUCGUCAAGGAAAAUCUAUUGAGCCCAAACACGAUGGAGUUAUGAUGAGUAGAUUAGGAUAGAUUAGGAUUUCUGGUGACCAACUCCUGACUCCAUCAUGAGAACCUGGACUUCAUCUAGAUCAAUGGUGCUCGUCGGGGCAAAUCUAUUGAGCCCAAACACGAUGGAGUUAUGAUGAGUAGAUUAGAACAUCUGGUGACCAUCUCAUGAUGGAGUCAGGAGCUGGUCACCAGAAGGGUCUCAUGACCCUGGACCUCAUCUAGAUAGAUGGUGCUCGUCGAGGCAAAUCGAUUGAGCCCAAACACGAUGGAGUGAUAAUGAGUAGAUUAGGAGUUCUGGUGACCAACUCCUGACUCCAUCAUGAGAACCUGGACCUCAUCUAGAUCGAUGGUGUUCGUCAAGGAAAAUCUAUUGAGCACAAACAGGAUGGAGUUAUGAUGAGUAGAUUAGGAGUUCGGUGACCAUUCCUGACUCCAUCAUGAGAACCUGGACAUCAUCCAGGUCGUCCGGGUAUAAUAAAAAUGCAAACCCUAACCAGAAUUCAAGUAACACUGAAAAUCUAUCACAUAAGCGAGAGUCGGUUGUUAAAAUUAAAUAUGGUGUAAAAAAUGUACACCCUUGGAUCAAGAUUUUCUAAUCAUAGUAUACAGCACUUCUCGGAACUCUCUCGAUGGUUACGAAAGCAACGAACGCCUGACGGUCGAGCACAGGUCCGUCCCCUAAGCGCACUCGGCGGAGACUGAGCGCGCGGUGUUGGUGCAGCGUGAUUUAUACGUCUUUAAAAAAAUAUAGAUUUACGGCUAGGUAGGUCCUAUAGUUAUGAUUUUUUUUUUAUGAGUAGACAUAAAGUUACAAUUUGAUAAAAUAUUAUUUUUGGGGCAAAAUAUAAGUCCAAUUUGCGAUAAAAAAAUGUAAUGUAACCCUGUUUUCACCAAAAAAAUGAAGAAAACUCGGAAGGUUUUUUAUCAAUUUUUUUAAAUGAAUCUUCGAUUUUCAAGCAUGUCAGCCCCUCGUACAAGAUAUGGUGAGUUGAAUUGUAAUCAUUCAUGUACCAAAUGAUUCUUGUUUACUGCAAAAUUGAGAACCGAAACGACCCUUCUCACUGCAAAAUUUGAAAAAGACUCCUAAGAAAACUCAUU